GACAGAGGGUGCAAACGUUGCUCGGAAUCACUGGGCGUAAAGGGCGUGUAGGCGGGUAGGCAAGUCGGGCGUGAAAUCCCUGAGCUCAACUCAGGAACUGCACUCGAAACUGCUUAUCUUGAGUGCCGGAGAGGAAAGCGGAAUACCUGGUGUAGAGGUGAAAUUCGUAGAUAUCAGGUGGAACACCAGUGGCGAAGGCGGCUACACUGGCUCGUAACUGACGCUCAGGCGCGACAGCGUGGGGGAUCAAACAGG
rnacentral:rRNA from 1 species